AGCGAACGCUGGCGGCAGGCCUAACACAUGCAAGUCGAACGAGCCCUUCGGGGUUAGUGGCGGACGGGUGAGUAACACGUGGGAACGUGCCUUUAGGUUCGGAAUAACUCAGGGAGACUUGUGCUAAUACCGAAUGUGCCCUUCGGGGGAAAGAUUUAUCGCCUUUAGAGCGGCCCGCGUCUGAUUAGCUAGUUGGUGAGGUAAUGGCUCACCAAGGCUACGAUCAGUAGCUGGUCUGAGAGGAUGACCAGCCACAUUGGGACUGAGACACGGCCCAAACUCCUACGGGAGGCAGCAGUGGGGAAUCUUGCGCAAUGGGCGAAAGCCUGACGCAGCCAUGCCGCGUGGAUGAUGAAGGUCUUAGGAUUGUAAAAUCCUUUCACCGGUGAAGAUAAUGACUGUAGCCGGAGAAGAAGCCCCGGCUAACUUCGUGCCAGCCGCCGCAGUAACAC
rnacentral:rRNA from 1 species